GUGGACUUUCCUCUCAGAAGCACUGCCAUUGCAUGAUCCAGCAAUGUACUUUGGCUGAACAACACUUUGGCAUCAAUCUCCUGUAUGUUGUGUUAUACAGAAGAAGGUGCCCUGUCUUGCCUAACAGAACAACAAAAUUUAACCUCUGUGGGAAGAAGCUAAAAGGAAAAUUUUGUAAUAUUAUACAUAUUAUUUACAAGGAAAGGAAAGGAAAGGAAAGGAAAGGAAAGGAAAGGAAAGGAAAGGAAAGAUCAUGUAGAUCACUGUACUUUUACCUGCUAAACUACAGCAAACACCUUCAAAUAUCUUCUGGAGAGAUGAAAGAGACAGCACAAGCC
rnacentral:lncRNA from 1 species